CCCAGAGCCGCCUGAAGGAAGCGGUGCAGCUGCUGGAGGAUUACAAACACGGCACUCUGCCCCCAGGAGUCACCAACAAAGAGGAAUUUCCAUUUCUGCCCCAUGUGAAGGCUCUGGGGGCUGCUCCUGGAGGCUGGAGCAGCACUGGGGAUGUUCCUGCCCUGGGAACGGGAGCAGGAUUUUGUGGGAUCCUCUGGAUGGGCAGCUCCUCGCAGCCUUUGGGGAUCCCUGAGGAAAGGAUGCUCUGGGGACUUUGGGACAGGAUGGUUCGCUGGGUGAGCUCUCCAACCCCACCCCAUCCCUUCUUCUGGAAUUUCUCCUGAUAUUCCUCUGCACGUGGAGCUUGUGGGAGCAGAGAUGAGGAUUUUAGAGGAGCCAAACGGCUUCUGGAAUAUCCUACCUCCAAAUCUGUGCCAUAAAACAAAAACCAUCAAUUUUUGUGGGUGUUACCUCGAGCUCUUCCCCAUUCCUGUCUGGAGAGUCCUGCCCACAAACCAGCCCAGGGCUUCUUUAUGGCUGUGUUGGUGCAUCCAGCACAAAAUGAAUCUGUGUGUGAUUAAAUGUGUGAUUUGAUGCCCUGGAAA